GAUCAUGGCUCAGGAUGAACGCUAGCUACAGGCUUAACACAUGCAAGUCGAGGGGCAGCGCAGUGUAGCAAUACAUGGGCGGCGACCGGCGCGACGGGUGCGUAACGCGUAUCCAACCUUCCCGUUACUCUUGGAUAGCCUUCCGAAAGGGAGAUUAAUACAAGAUGGUAUUCAAAUUUCGCAUGUUAUUUGAAUUAAAGAUUUAUCGGUAACGGAUGGGGAUGCGUGACAUUAGGUAGAUGGCGGGGUAACGGCCCACCAUGCCCACGAUGUCUAGGGGUUCUGAGAGGAAGGUCCCCCACACUGGAACUGAGACACGGUCCAGACUCCUACGGGAGGCAGCAGUGAGGAAUAUUGGUCAAUGGCCGGAAGGCUGAACCAGCCAAGUAGCGUGAAGGAUGAAGGUUCUAUGGAUUGUAAACUUCUUUUAUACGGGAAUAAAACCACCUACGUGUAGGUGCUUGUAUGUACCGUAUGAAUAAGCAUCGGCUAACUCCGUG
rnacentral:rRNA from 1 species